rnacentral:rRNA from 1 species
AGCGAACGCUGGCGGCAGGCCUAACACAUGCAAGUCGAACGAACUCUUCGGAGUUAGUGGCGGACGGGUGAGUAACACGUGGGAACGUGCCUUUAGGUUCGGAAUAACUCAGGGAAACUUGUGCUAAUACCGAAUGUGCCCUUCGGGGGAAAGAUUUAUCGCCUUUAGAGCGGCCCGCGUCUGAUUAGCUAGUUGGUGAGGUAAAGGCUCACCAAGGCGACGAUCAGUAGCUGGUCUGAGAGGAUGAACAGCCACAUUGGGACUGAGACACGGCCCAAACUCCUACGGGAGGCAGCAGUGGGGAAUCUUGCGCAAUGGGCGAAAGCCUGACGCAGCCAUGCCGCGUGAAUGAUGAAGGUCUUAGGAUUGUAAAAUUCUUUCACCGGGGACGAUAAUGACGGUACCCGGAGAAGAAGCCCCGGCUAACUUCGUG